AUGAAAAUUGAAAAGGGAAUAGGGUUAAGAAGACUGAGAUCUGUCUCCCUUCUUCCUCCACGACGGUGCCGCUACCUUCCCUUCUCUCCUUCAUCGACGGUGUUCGAACGGCACGGAUAUCUCACCAUCGUCUUCUUCUUCCUUCAUCAACGGUGCUCGAACGGCGCGGCUAUCUCACCAUCGUCUUCUUUCUCAGACCGUGCCGUAUUCAACUUCUUACAAACACGAUUUCCUUCUCAAAACGCGGCAGAAAUUCCUUUCUCUCUUUCUCCUAACAGCACACCGCCACCAUGGAGGUAUCUCCGACGAUUUCCUUCGCCUUUCGUCAUUUGUCUUAACUCCGCUUCACCUUCUUCUUAA